GUAUGGGAUUUGUGGCUGCUAUGAGAUCAGCUGGCAUGUCACUGCAUGAGGAACCUCUGAGAAGGCAAGGGUGCCCAGCCAUAGGGAUCCUGACUUCCUUUUCAUGAGAGACAAAUCCAGGAAGAUCUCCAGCUUUCUUCUUUCCUGGGUGUUUCCUUCAGUGCUAAUCCAAAAAACUGUGAUGAAAGGAGGAGAGUGACCUGGAGAAAGGACAGGUACUCAAGGGAUCCCCUGAUCUUCUACUACUGAGAAUGAAGAAUAUGCACUGUGAGCACUUAAGUGUUCUGGUCAGCU